AUUGACUUUUCUACUUUUUUGUUUCACUGCUUUUUCCUUUAAAAAGCUCUUAAGGUUUUCUUCUAGGAAAGUAAACCCUUUAUAUAGAGAAUAAACAUUUACCAUAAGUUUAACAAUUUCUUCUAUUCUGUUCUUUUACGUAUCUAUCCUUUUAAAAAAAAUUUUUAAAAGACACUAUAUAUAGCCUGGAACUUAUGGGAAUCCUCCUGCCUCAGCCUCUAGAGUGCUCAGAUUACAAUAUGUGCCACUAUACGCAGCUCUGAAGUUUCCAAUACAGUUAAUGUUCCACACUGGAAAUAUUUCCCUUUAUCCGCUCCUUACCAUUUACUCAGGGUGGGUGUUCUCCACCCCACCCUGCUGCACAUGGAACUUCACAACUAAGUCUGUUCUGGAUGCCAGUGCAGAAGGUUUCGCAGCAGUGCAGUCUAGGGUGACUUACUUUCUUCUUAGUUUUUUUGUCUGCACUGCUUAUUAUUUAAAAAACAAACAAAAAAUCUUCAAGCCAAUCUUGAAACCUCCACUGGAUGCAGAUGUACUAGCAACCUAAAAAGCUGGCUUACGCCAACACAGAAGACAGGGUUCAAAAUACUGGUUGGCAAAACUCAGUGUUUUUGCUGCUUGUUUAGGACAGACCUAUGUCUGUUCACUCUUCCACUCCCUAGUUUCUAUUCCACUCCAAGUGUGACCUGAUCCUUCUUCUACAGCAAUCACCAGAAACCUAAGAACAGCAAAAGCCACUGCAGUGAUUAUCUUGAGCGCAGCAGAAGGAAAAGAGAUAAAGGAGAAAUAAAAAGUCAAAGGAAGCAGAUGUUGGCCUAUAACUGCUAAGAAAGGCAUCAAAUCAAAUGGGAAUAACAAAAUAUUUAUAGAAUUUCAACAGAGGCGCACCUUCUUCACUAGUUUACCCUUAGCACCUCAAUGUCUGGCAAAGAAGGGUACAGCAAACGCUGGUGAGACAAUGACACGCAGGCAUGCUCUGUCCUCUACAAGCUGCUCCAUGGAGCCAGCGUGGAGGCGCACACCUGUAAUCUAAGCCCUGAAGGAGGACGCUGAGUCAGAGAGAUCAGAAGCUUGAGGUUAACCUGGGCUACACAGGGAAUUCAAGGCCACCCUGAACAUCAUCGUAAGACCCCACCUCAGAAAAAGAAACACAAAUAAAUGUAUUAUUAUGCAUACAGUCUUUUUUUUUCCUACUGGGGACUAAAUCUAGGGCCUUCAAAACAAGCUGCAUUCCCAGCCUCUUUUGGUUUUGUUUUGAGCCAGGGUCUCGACAAAUCACUAAGCCACCUGGGCCGUGCAAAUUUAUGACCCUCCUGCCUCUGCUUCUCAGAGCACUGAGGUUACAGGUGUGGGCUACCAUGCUUCGGUAUGUAUAUCAUCUUGACAUGUAUGCACAGAAAAUGUCUGGAAGGAUUGGUAACAAAUGAAACAGUAGUUGGCAGUAGAUAGAAAUGGGAAAAUUUGUAAAUGAUGCCUUUCUCUUUUGCUUAUUUAUAUUUUCUAUGGUGAAAAAGUAAUUUAAAAACAACUGUAAGGGAAAUACUUAAG